UACGGAGGGUGCAAGCGUUAUCCGGAUUUACUGGGUUUAAAGGGUGCGUAGGUGGGCAGGUAAGUCAGUGGUGAAAUCUCCGGGCUUAACUCGGAAACUGCCAUUGAUACUAUCUGUCUUGAAUACCGUGGAGGUCAGCGGAAUAUGUCAUGUAGCGGUGAAAUGCUUAGAUAUGACAUAGAACACCAAUUGCGAAGGCAGCUGGCUACACGAAUAUUGACACUGAUGCACGAAAGCGUGGGGAUCAAACAGG
rnacentral:rRNA from 1 species